UCGCCUGUUUAUCAAAAACAUGGUUUUUUGUUUAUAUAAAAAAUCUAACCUGCCCAAUGAUUUAUUAAAUGGCUGCAGUAUAUUGACUGUACAAAGGUAGCAUAAUCACUUGUCUCUUAAUUGGAGUCUGGUAUGAAUGGUUGGAUGAAAAGUUUACUUUCUUUAUUUUAAAUAAAAAAAUUGGUUUUUAAGUUAAAAAACUUAGAUAAUGAUAUAGGACGAGAAGACCCUAUAGAACUUUACUUUUGUUUUAAUUGAUUUUUUUAGUAUAUGAAUAUUUUCAAUUAUGAUUAUAGUUUGGUUGGGGUGACAAAAAAAAUUUUUAACUUUUUUUAUUUUAUUCAUUUAUGUUUGAAAUUUUGAUCUCUUUUUAAGAAAAAAAGACUAAGUUACCUUAGGGAUAACAGCGUUAUUAUUUUGGAUAGUUCUUAUUGAUAAAAUAGUUUGCGACCUCGAUGUUGGAUUAAAAUUAGCUUUAGGAGUAGAAAAUUAUUAGCUAGGUCUGUUCGACCUUUAAAUUUUUACAUGAUCUGAGUUCAAACCGGAGA
rnacentral:rRNA from 1 species